ACCCCAUCCCCAUCAGGAAUCCGAGGAGGAGAGUGAGGACAGUGUCCCGUAAGUGUCGGCCCCCCAGGACUCCCAGGAUAGGCCUUUCAAAGAGCCUGAACCACGUCCUGAGCCUCAACCCAGAAGAGGAGGAAUUGUGGUCCGUGGCAGAGGACUUAGUUGUAGAUGGGCCAGGUGAUGGAGGAACACUCUGCCUAACCUGAUCGUAAGGAAUUCAUGUGGACCAACCUCUCUUCUCCUAGUCUAGUGUUGGACCUAAUCUGCAGAGCGCUGCACCCGUAUGAACAGAUGCCAUCCGUUAUGAAAACCCACUUCUUCAGAAAUAAGGUACACAGAGCGCAUGCGCUGAGGCGAGUGUCUCUGCUCCACAGUAACGGCCAUCACAUGACAUGCCACCUGAUCUCACAGAGCGGAACGUCACUUCCGGUCCUGCGGACGGAUCCCGGAAGCGCC